rnacentral:rRNA from 1 species
GGAGCGAACGCUGGCGGCAGGCCUAACACAUGCAAGUCGAGCGCCCCGCAAGGGGAGCGGCAGACGGGAGAGUAACACGUGGGAACAUGCCCUUCAGUUCGGAACAACCAAGGGAAACUUUGGCUAAUACCGGAUACGCCCGUAAGGGGAAAGAUUUAUCGCUGAAGGAUUGGCCCGCGUCUGAUUAGCUAGUUGGUGGGGUAAUGGCCCACCAAGGCGACGAUCAGUAGCUGGUCUGAGAGGAUGAUCAGCCUCACUGGGACUGAGACACGGCCCAGACUCCUACGGGAGCAGCAGUGGGGAAUAUUGGACAAGUGGGACGAAAGCCUAGAUCCAGCCAUGCCGCGUGAGUGAUGAAGGUCCGUUAGGGUUGUAAAGCUUCUUCGUCGAAGGGAAGAGUAAGUGACGGUACCUAGAAGAGAACGCCCGGACUACUUCGU